rnacentral:lncRNA from 1 species
ACUCCCCACCCCCCUACCCCGCCCCGCGGAAGGAUUGGGAGGGAUCGCGACCUCCCCGCAGACUGUCCUCGCGGCGCCUCCGGCCAGCCGGAGCAUCCUCGGCGGAGGGGUCCCCGCCACCGCGGCGACCCGGAACGCCGAUUCCGCCGCAGCCUCCCUCCCCGGAGGGCCGGGCCAGAGCCGAGCCGGGCCAGGCCGGGGCGCCAGCCGUAGCCACAUAUGCCCGCCCCGCAGCGACGCCCGCCGGAGGCCCGGCCCGAGAGUCCCGAGGGAAGCUUGUCCCCGCUCGCUCGCCGUAGGCGCGACACGCAGGAGCGAAACCUGGAGGUUCAAGUUGCAAGUGGGCGGGGACGCGGAUAUUGUGGAGUGGGCGUUCCCAACCCUUUCUCGGACUACGAGGCCGCCGCCGGCCGGCGAGCAGAAACCAUGUGCUCGCCCCGCGCUCUCCCGCGACGAGCUGGCCCUCCCUUUCCACAGCGCCGGGUAGAUCAUUCAUCAUUUCACAAAGCGGAUCCAGACCAAAAUGAAGGAUCUUCUACAGCAGAUGGAAGAAGGGCGGAAGACAGCUGGUCCCCAUGA